UCGUAUUCUGCUUCAUUAUUGGUGCAUACCCCGUCGAUUUUGUAUUUGAACUCUGCUGGAAUUCCAUCUGGAGAAAUUAUGACUCCUCCUAUCCCAGAUCCAUGCUUAUGUCUUGACCCAUUGAAGUAUAGCCUCCAUGGUGCUAAGUCUACGUAAUUCUGCGCCAUUUCGACCAUCGAAUGGUCGACAAGAAAGUCCGCUACUACCUGCCCUUUCAUCGCUUUCAAGGGUACGUAUGUCAGGGAGUAUUAUGUUAAUGCCAAAGCCCAUUUUCCAAUUCGACUAUGCAAAAUCGGUUUAGAUAACAUGUGUUUAAUAAUAUCAAAAUGGGAAGAUACGUACACAUCAACAGGCUUGAUAUGUUGUUUUAAUU
rnacentral:lncRNA from 1 species